rnacentral:rRNA from 1 species
UAGGGAAUAUUAGAAAUGGUCGAAAGUCUGAUCUAGCAACACCGCGUGUGCGAAGAAGGCCUUCGGGUCGUAAAGCACUUUUUGGAAGGAAUAGGAAGGAAUGUACUUCCAGAAUAAGUCUCGGCUAACUACGUGCCAGCAGCCGCGGUAACACGUAGGAGGCGAACGUUAUCCGGAUUUACUGGGCGUAAAGCGCGUGUAGGUGGUACUGUAAGUAGGGCGUGAAAGCUCCUGGCUCAACUGGGAGAGGCCGUUCUAAACUACAGAACUAGAGGAUGGUAGAGGGAGGUGGAAUUCCAGGUGUAGCGGUGGAAUGCGCAGAUAUCUGGAGGAACACCGGUGGCGAAGGCGGCCUCCUGGACCACUCCUGACACUCAGACGCGAAAGCUAGGGUAGCAAACGG